AGUGAACGCUGGCGGUAGGCCUAACACAUGCAAGUCGAACGGCAGCACAGUAAGAGCUUGCUCUUACGGGUGGCGAGUGGCGGACGGGUGAGGAAUACAUCGGAAUCUACUUUUUCGUGGGGGAUAACGUAGGGAAACUUACGCUAAUACCGCAUACGACCUACGGGUGAAAGCAGGGGAUCUUCGGACCUUGCGCGAUUGAAUGAGCCGAUGUCGGAUUAGCUAGUUGGCGGGGUAAAGGCCCACCAAGGCGACGAUUCGUAGCUGGUCUGAGAGGAUGAUCAGCCACACUGGAACUGAGACACGGUCCAGACUCCUACGGGAGGCAGCAGUGGGGAAUAUUGGACAAUGGGCGCAAGCCUGAUCCAGCCAUACCGCGUGGGUGAAGAAGGCCUUCGGGUUGUAAAGCCCUUCUGUUGGGAAAGAAAAGCAGCAGGUUAAUACCCCGCUGUUCUGACGGUACCCAAAGAAUAAGCACCGGCUAACUUCGUG
rnacentral:rRNA from 1 species